rnacentral:rRNA from 1 species
GAUGAACGCUGGCGGCGUGCCUAAUACAUGCAAGUCGAGCGAAUGGAUUAAGAGCUUGCUCUUAUGAAGUUAGCGGCGGACGGGUGAGUAACACGUGGGUAACCUGCCCAUAAGACUGGGAUAACUCCGGGAAACCGGGGCGAAUACCGGAUAACAUUUUGAACCGCAUGGUUCGAAAUUGAAAGGCGGCUUCGGCUGUCACUUAUGGAUGGACCCGCGUCGCAUUAGCUAGUUGGUGAGGUAACGGCUAACCAAGGCAUCGAUGCGUAGCCGACCUGAGAGGGUGAUCGGCCACACUGGGACUGAGACACGGCCCAGACUCCUACGGGAGGCAGCAGUAGGGAAUCUUCCGCAAUGGACGAAAGUCUGACGGAGCAACGCCGCGUGAGUGAUGAAGGCUUUCGGGUCGUAAAACUCUGUUGUUAGGGAAGAACAAGUGCUAGUUGAAUAAGCUGGCACCUUGACGGUACCUAACCAGGAAGCCACGGCUAACUACGUGCCAGCCGCCGCCGUAA